rnacentral:rRNA from 1 species
ACGCUCAGGUGCGAAAGCGUGGGGAGCAAACAGGAUUAGAUACCCUGGUAGUCCACGCCGUAAACGAUGUCGAUUUGGAGGUUGUGCCCUUGAGGCGUGGCUUCCGGAGCUAACGCGUUAAAUCGACCGCCUGGGGAGUACGGCCGCAAGGUUAAAACUCAAAUGAAUUGACGGGGGCCCGCACAAGCGGUGGAGCAUGUGGUUUAAUUCGAUGCAACGCGAAGAACCUUACCUGGUCUUGACAUCCACAGAACUUUCCAGAGAUGGAUUGGUGCCUUCGGGAACUGUGAGACAGGUGCUGCAUGGCUGUCGUCAGCUCGUGUUGUGAAAUGUUGGGUUAAGUCCCGCAACGAGCGCAACCUUAUCCUUUGUUGCCAGCGGUCGGCCGGGAACGUCAAAGGAGACUGCCAGUGAUAAACUGGAGGAAGGUGGGAUGACGUCAAGUCAUCAUGCCUUACGACCAGGCUACACAGCGUGCUACAAUGGCAUAUACAAAGAGAAGCGACCUCGCGAGAGCAAGCGGACCUCAUAAAGUAUGUCGUAGUCCGGAUUGGAGUCUGCAACUCGACUCC